CAGAUGUAAGAUUAAGUUCUCCUUUGGUAAUAAGCAGCCAAUGAAUUCUCACGGCAUCUUGAAUUGGAUGGUUAUCCUCAUGGUGAACCAGUCAAUAAAUCGCCUGUCAUCAGAGAAUCCUUGUGCUCGUGAAAUUACUGGGGGGAGCUACAGUGAGAAUUCAUCUGCUCUUCACGGGUAGGAGAAGGAACAUUUCCAAACAGCCAUCAAGUGAGCAUCAAGUUAACUCCAAGUUCCAUCAUUCUGGAUUCUACAAGCACUGUAUACACUGGUAACCAAGAAGCUAGUGACAUGCACACCCACAGAGUUUAAUGGCAUUGUCAAGUUAAGGCCAACAAGAAGAUAAGCACAACCAAGUUCAAGUUAAGUUCUCACGGCAUCUUGAAUUGGAUGGUUAUCCUCAUGGUGAACCAGUCAAUAAAUCGCCUGUCAUCAGAGAAUCCUUGUGCUCGUGAAAUUACUGGGGGGAGCUACAAGUAACAUUUAAAA